rnacentral:rRNA from 1 species
CCGCCCUGUUUCUAACUAUAAGCAAUUUAUACAGCGAAACUGCGAAUAGGCUCAUUAUAUAAGUUAUCGUUUAUUUGAUAGUACCUUACUACUUGGAUAACCGUGGUAAUUCUAGAGCUAAUACAUGCUAAAAAUCCCGACUUCGGAAGGGAUGUAUUUAUUAGAUUAAAAACCAAUGCCCCUCGGGGCUCUCUGGUGAUUCAUAAUAACUUCUCGAAUCGCACGGCCUUGCGCCGGCGAUGGUUCAUUCAAAUUUCUUCCCUAUCAACUUUCGAUGUUUGGGUAGUGGCCAAACAUGGUUGCAACGGGUAACGGAGGGUUAGGGCUCGACCCCGGAGAAGGAGCCUGAGAAACGGCUACUACAUCCAAGGAAGGCAGCAGGCGCGCAAAUUACCCAAUCCCGAUUCGGGGAGGUAGUGACAAUAAAUACUGAUACAGGGCUCUUUCGGGUCUUGUAAUUGGAAUGAGUACAAUUUAAAUCCCUUAACGAGGAACAAUUGGAGGGCAAGUCUGGUGCCAGCAGCCGCGGUAAUUCCAGCUCCAAUAGCGUAUAUUAAAGUUGUUGUGGUUAAAAAGCUCGUAGUUGAACCUUGGGCCUGGCUGGCCGGUCCGCCUCACCGCGUGUCACUGGUCCGGCCGGGUCUUUCCCUCUGUGGAACCACAUGCCCUUCACUGGGCGUGGCGGGGAAACAGGACUUUUACUUUGAAAAAAUUAGAGUGCUCCAGGCAGGCCUAUGCUCGAAUACAUUAGCAUGGAAUAAUGAAAUAGGACGUGCGGUUCUAUUUUGUUGGUUUCUAGGACCGCCGUAAUGAUUAAUAGGGACAGUCGGGGGCAUCAGUAUUCAAUUGUCAGAGGUGAAAUUCUUGGAUUUAUUGAAGACUAACUACUGCGAAAGCAUUUGCCAAGGAUGUUUUCAUUAAUCAGGAACGAAAGUUAGGGGAUCGAAGACGAUCAGAUACCGUCGUAGUCUUAACCAUAAACUAUGCCGACUAGGGAUCGGGACGAUGUUAUUUAGUUGACUCGUUCGGCACCUUUACGAGAAAUUCAAAGUGCUUGGGCUCCAGGGGGAGUAAGGGCCGCAAGGCUGAAACUUAAAGAAAUAUUGUGCCGGAAAGGA